AGAUAUUAUAAUACCCUAGAACUUUCAACUCUAUACCUUCCAUGAGGUACACCAUUGAAUUAGCUUUUCAAUGCUACCAGUCUGGCCUUGAUUCGAUAUCAUAGUGAGAAGUUUGAAAAAAUUCGCCCAAGUGAUGGUCGCACUGCUAGUGACAACGACUUUACAAAUUACCCAUUAUCAGAUGUAACGUGUCAUUGUGUGAGAUUCGUUACCACCCUAGUAAGGGAUCCCAG
rnacentral:lncRNA from 1 species